rnacentral:rRNA from 2 species
CCCAAGUGGAGAGUCUGACGGAGCACGCCGCGUGAGUGAUGAAGGCUUUCGGGUCGUAAAACUCUGUUGUUAGGGAAGAACAAGUACAAGAGUAACUGCUUGUACCUUGACGGUACCUAACCAGAAAGCCACGGCUAACUACGUGCCAGCAGCCGCGGUAAUACGUAGGUGGCAAGCGUUAUCCGGAAUUAUUGGGCGUAAAGCGCGCGCAGGCGGUUUCUUAAGUCUGAUGUGAAAGCCCACGGCUCAACCGUGGAGGGUCAUUGGAAACUGGGGAACUUGAGUGCAGAAGAGAAAAGCGGAAUUCCACGUGUAGCGGUGAAAUGCGUAGAGAUGUGGAGGAACACCAGUGGCGAAGGCGGCUUUUUGGUCUGUAACUGACGCUGAGGCGCGAAAGCGUGGGGAGCAAACAGGAUUAGAUACCCUGGUAGUCCACGCCGUAAACGAUGAGUGCUAAGUGUUAGAGGGUUUCCGCCCUUUAGUGCUGCAGCUAACGCAUUAAGCACUCCGCCUGGGG